rnacentral:lncRNA from 1 species
GGAUGCUUACCACACCCACUUGGGGGCUGGCACAGGUGAUGCUGACCACACACUUGGGUGUGGUCAGAGUGAUGUAGCAAGGCUUUAAAUAUCAGAGACUUACGCAUGCGUCUCCCUUUCCCUCUCGCGCCUAGUUGAACAGGACUGGCUCCAUUACGCAUGAAGAAUAUAAAUGUUACAGGCCAUAGAGACUUUUGCCCAGAUUCCCAAAGAAAGCUCAUGAGACUCGGCACUGUGUUCCAGGGUCAGCAGCCUAGGAAAGAACGGUGUGGAGCUGUGAGAGUGACACCUAAGAUGCACAGAGAACUCAGGAAGCCAAGGAUGCCAGGAACAUGGAACAUCUGCUGAGGGAAUCUUCGAGCAGUGAGCAGAGUCAGCCUGGGGGAGGCCGCAUGUGCUAAAGCCAGCAUGGUCAGCGUAGCACAACUACUGAGCCUUCUACGGCCUACAUCAUCCUAUCAUAUGCUCCAGAUGCCCGAGGUACAGGAUUUAAUGCUUGCCCUGCUGGUUUCCCUUCCCAGCUUCCUUCUGGAAUGGGAAUAUUUAGAGUGUCACUGGAUAUUGGAAGUAUAUUUUCUCUUCUUUUUUCAGUUUUUUGUUUGUUUUUCCCUGGAACUUGCUUUAUAGACCAGGCUGGCCUCGAACUCACAGAGAUGCACCUGCCUCUGCCUAAGUGUUGGGAUUCAAGGCUUGAGCCACCAAUGCCUGGCUAUUUUUUAGUUUUAUGGGGCCUCACAGCUAGUUUGUCUUGGAUCUUUGAAGAUACUUUGGACUUGGUUUUUUGAGCAACACUGUAACCUUUGAGAUGUUGGGGAGACUUAGAGAUGUACUAAAGAGAGUUUUGCAUGAAGAGAUGGGCAUGAGUGUCUGGUGGCCAAGGGCAUCUGAAUGUUGUGAACCACUUGAGUGUGAAAUGUCUCCUGCAGGCUUGGUCCCCAGCUACUGGGACUGUUGGGGGUGUGGCAGGAACUUUAGAAGGGGAGGCCAAACUGAAGGAAGGAGACCAAGCUUGGUGUGGUGGUCCACUACUAGCUGUUCUUGAGGAGGGACCAGGAUGUGGUUAGCAGCUCUGUAACUCCACUUCUAGGGGAUCUGAUGCCCUCUUCUGGCUUCUUCAGGCUCU